CCUACGGGGGGCUGCAGUAAGGAAUAUUGGUCAAUGGACGAAAGUCUGAACCAGCCAUGCCGCGUGGAGGAUGAAGGUCCUCUGGAUUGUAAACUUCUUUUAUAUGGGACGAAAAAAGGCCUUUCUAGGCCGUCUGACGGUACCAUAUGAAUAAGCACCGGCUACCUCCGUGCCAGCAGCCGCGGUACUACGGAGGGUGCAAGCGUUAUCGGGAUUCACUGGGUUUAAGGGGUGCUGAGAAGGGAGGGUAGAAAUCGUCGAGCUUAACUUUGAAACUGCCAUUGAUACUAUUAAUCUUGAAUAUUGUGGAGGUUAGCGGAAUAUGUCAUGUAGCGGUGAAAUGCUUAGAUAUGACAUAGAACACCAAUUGCGAAGGCAGCUGGCUACACAUAUAUUGACACUGAGGCACGAAAGCGUGGGGAUCAAACAGGAUUAGAUACCCGUGUAGUC
rnacentral:rRNA from 1 species